GAAUGACUUGACAGAGCAUGUAAAAUAUCCAGCAAUAUGAAGCCUCAGAGACUAAAGCAAUUGGAAGCUGAAGUAGAUGCUGAGGUUCAGAGACUAUAGCAUCACCUUUCAGUGAGGCAAACAAAUGGCUAGGUUAAAGAAUGUGUUUGCCAGCCUCCCUCCAACCAUGCAAGGUCACUGAACUGAAUUCUCGCCAGUGGUGUGCUGCUGAACGGUCAUACAUUCCAGAAAGUCUUCAAAGAAAAGGUUAGAUUAUGGAUGGAAUCGCUAGAGCACAGACAACCAUCUUAGACCAUGAGGUGGAGAAUAAAGAGGGAACCAGAUGGAAGUAGGCUGGUUCCUGAUGAGUCUACUCUUCCUGUGCUGGACUUCCUGCCUUUAACGUUUUUUUUAACAUAAAUAAAUUUUUCUUUAGCAGUUAUAUUCCAUUCUCCACCCAGCAACCAAAGUGAUGCUUUCAAAAUUUAAAUGAGAUUAUAUCUGUUCUUUGUUUAGACCCCUAAAUGAUUUCUAGUCUCACUCAGAGUAAAAUACAAAGUCUUCUGGCCCUUCAAGGCCCUUUGUGAUUUAGCCUCAUCUACUAACUCUCUCCCUCUUUCACUGUGUUCUCUUGAAAUACUAUUAACCUCAAAUAACCCUAUAGCUAACUCUGUCACUUAAUUCGUAUCCCCACUCAUUUAAAGCAUAAAGUGCAUUCUAUGAUCAUCCUACAAAAAAUUACGCUCCACAUAUUACUCUGUCCAGCAGUGCUCAAGUCACUUAUAUGGGUACAAAAUAUCAUAGUAUUUGCAUAUAACCUAUGCACAUAUGGCUGUUCACUUUAAAUCAUCUUUAGAUUACUUGCAAUACCUAAUGUUGUGUAAUAGUUGCCAAACUAUAUUUUUAAAUGUGUAUUGUUUUAAAUUGUUGUAUUAUUUUUUAUUGUUUUUCAAAAAUAUGUUUGAGCCACAUUUGGUUGAAUCCUGGGAUGCAGAACCUGGGGAUAUGGAGGACAGACUGUAUAAAUAUUAUGUAUAUUUAUGGGAAAAUACAUAUAUGUGCAUUUUUCCCUUGUCCUAUCAUUCAGUUGUAAGCUCCAUCAGGAUAAGGGCUUUGUGCAUAGUUUUUCAAUGUAUACCCAGCACUUAGGAUAAAAGUGACUAAAGCCUAGAAGUUAAUUUAUAAAUAUUUGUUGAACACAGAAAUAAAAGAUCUUUAUUAAGUUCACUCUAGCUCAUUAUAGAUUGUUACAAUAGCAAAAGUAAAAGCUGAUGUUUCCCUGUAGCCUACCUAGCUGAGAGGGUAAAAAAAAGUCUUGGCAGUGUGUAUACUCCCAAAGUCGGCUGAUACUCUUUUUAAAAGCUACUUAACCACUUCCCAAUCCCCAGACUUAUAUAACACAACCCCCUCAAUAACUAUGUAGUAAACUCAGUAACACUGGUUAGAUGGGGAAGAAACUGUGUCUGAAGAAGACAUGGAAAACAUCAGAGUAAAGCAUAGGUCAGAAAAAGGAGAAAACAGAGAAGAGUAGCAUCCUGGAGACUGGAAAGAAUCCCCUACGUCAGUGUGGCUGGGAAAGAUGCCACAACAUCACAGGAUAAAAAGUAAUGCAGAUCUAAAUGCACCACAAUUUAAAUAUCCUCUUCCUGUCUAUUCCUUUGGAAAGUCUUUAUUCACUCAACAAAUAUGACUUGAGCUUAAGGCAUUAGGGGUACAACGAACAAAAACCACAGACUCUGCAUACAACUUUUUGAGGGAAAAUCGAACAAGUGGGGCAUCACUACAUCCUAGGGUUUAUGGUAUCAUAUUUCAUUCCUUCUGAAGCUGAGUUAUAGAAAUAUAUACUCUGACUAGGUUAAGAGGUUUAUGUAAAAUAUUAAUGAGGUAAAUUUUGAUAAACUGAAUUUCUCAGAUAAAAAGAUACAAUAAAAUGUUUUUUUUUUUUAAUUUUAGCAAGGAAAUUGAAUUAGGAUAAAGUGACAGAUAAAAGAGUCUAUUUCAUUUAAAGGAGUAUUCAUUUGACUCUACACUAAAGCUUAGUCUACUUGGAAGAAAUGCAUUACAUUCAUACACAUUCACUAUUAUAUGAUUUUAAUAUAUUUUAAUAUAUUUAAUCAGUAAGAAAUUGCUCUUAAUCUCAGCCUGGACAGUAUCAUAAAAGUACAGUUAAAACCUAGCAUAGGCUGGGCGCGGUGGCUCACGCCUGUAAUCUCAGCACUUUGGGAGGCUGAGGGGGGUGGAUCAUGAGUUCAGGAGAUGGAGACCAUCCUGGCCAAAAUGGUGAGACCCUGUCUCCACUAAAAAUACAAAAAAUAGCUGGGUGUGGUGGUACAUGCCCUCAGGAGGCUGAGGCAGGAGAAUCACUUGAAUCAGGGAGUUGGAGGUUGCAGUGAGCCAAGAUUGUGCCACUGCACUCCAGCCUGGAGACAGAGCGAGACUCUCUCAAAACAAACAAACAAACAAAAAUAAAAAACAACUUAACACAUAUUAUAUAGAAAUAUUAUAUUUUAUAUUUUCAAAUCGAAGUCAGGAACUUGGCAUUUUCUUCAUUUCUGACAUACCUUUGCUUAGAACCCUUGGCUGAGGAAGUGGCUGAUUUGAGUUGUAUUUGAUCUCUCCUCACCAGCUGUGCAUUAUUGAUAGAAAGAGGAAAGGGAGGGACAGGUGGAUGGAGUGGAGGUUGUCUAUUCAUAUUUUAUAAGCCUUUCCUUGUGAGCCCUGCAGUUGUCAUCAGAGCACAGGCCCACAUGCAGUGUCCCUCACAGCCCAAGGACCACUGACACAGAACCAGGGUCAGGAUAUGCAGCAUGACAGAUUCUUUGAAGUCUGCAUUUUGGUGGCACUUAGACACAAAAUAUUUGGUCACUUUUGACCUCAAAUAACCCAUGAGGCCAUGGGCUAAACCACAUAUGAAUUGUCUAACAUCAUCAUGAAUCCUGUCUUUUGAAAAUCUCAAUUACUAUUUCUUAUAUCUGACUAAAUAGAGCUGUAAAGAAACCAGAGCACAGAACUGAAAUUUGGUAACACAGUGAAAGAGUACAAAUAGCUGGUCAUUACUUUCCUAUACUAAUUUAAUCAAUAGUUCCCUGUUGUAACAACCUAUGCAAAAGGACUUAAUCACAACUUCUAAAACAAACUAGAGAAAUAUAUGUAAUAUAUAAUAUAGAACUAGAAAAAAGCAGGAAUUUGAAUAAUGUGAUUUUUUUUUUUAAGCAUGGAUAUGUUCUAGUGCAAAGCAGACAGAAAGUCAAUCCCAGAAAACCUUUUUCUUACUAAGGUUUGCAAUGAUCAAAGUUUGGAUAAAAAACAAUUGAUCCAGGAUACAAUGUAGUUAAAAUAGGCAGUAAAUCAAACACAUGAAAUAGAGGUUUAUGUAGUUGCCAUAUAUGGAUUUAACUAAUAAAGAUAUUAGUUAAUAAUUGACUAGCAGGGUGAGUACUUAAAGGCUAUUACAUCAUAUUACUGUGGUAACCUGUCUUUUUAAUGAAUAUUAGUCACAACAAAAUGUGAUCAUUUAGAGCCUCAAGAUGAAGUGUAUUCAUAGCUAUCUGUAUAUUUUUAAAGAACAAAUAAAGCCCAACAUGCCAUUGCCAAUAGCAGAUGUGAUUCAAAAAGCUUGAAAAAUAGCAUAUCAUAAAAAUGUGCUUUUUAGUUUGCAGCAUUUUUUCCUGAAUGCCAUGGAUUGAGGUCUCCCAGGAAACAGACUCUGUAUAGAGAUGUGAAUGCAGGAGAUUUAUCAGGACAUGCUGUCUCAGGGUCAACACCAAUUUGGCAGUGUGUGAGAGGAAGGAGUAGGAAUUGGGAGAGCUAUAGAUUAGGCUGUGAUAUAGUCACAGUAAGACCUUGGGCAACCCUGAAGCAACCCUGAAGCUGGAUUGGCUGUGGAGAGUAGUUCUGGGUAUGGUGAGGGCAUUGUGCCUUCAUACUCCCAUGUCACAAGCACUGGCUGUGACCUGCUCAGUGAAAGGGUGUUGGUAUCUUCAACCAAAGCAUUUCCCCAAAAGGAUCGAGAGCCUUCUGCUUACAAUCUUCCCAGCAGCCAGAGGAAGGAAUCCUUUAGUACUGAAAGGAGAUCUGGGUGGAACAGCACAGCAUCUCUGACACUAACUGACUUCUUCAAAUAUUUCUUUUCUUUUUUUUUUUUUUUUUUUUUUUUGAGACAGAGUCUCGCUAUGUCACCCAGGCUGGAGUGCAGUGGCCCAAUCUUGGUCACUGCAGCCUCUGCCUCCCAGGUUCAAGUGGUUCUCCUGCCUCACCUCCUGAGUAGCUGAGUAGACAGGCAUAUGCCACCACACCUGGCUAAUUUUUGUGUUUUUAGUAGAGAUGAGGUUUCACCAUAUUGGACAGGCUGGUCUCGAACUCCUGACCUCGUGAUCCACCCGCCUCAGCUAUGUGCCGUAUAAACUACCAUUAUCGAAGGCGUUCAAAACUUAUAUGACCAAUUCCUUCCUCCAAGAGCUUGAGAGCAGGCUGAGCACUGUCGUGCACACCUGCAGUCCCAGCACUUUGGGAGGCUGAGGCAGGU
rnacentral:lncRNA from 1 species